UACAGAGGGUGCAAGCGUUGUUCGGAAUUAUUGGGCGUAAAGCGCGUGUAGGCGGCUUUGCAGGUCGGGUGUGAAAGCCCUCGGCUUAACCGAGGAAGUGCGCCCGAAACUGCAGAGCUUGAGUACCGGAGAGGAUGGCGGAAUUCCCCAAGUAGAGGUGAAAUUCGUAGAUAUGGGGAGGAACACCGGUGGCGAAGGCGGCCAUCUGGACGGAUACUGACGCUGAGACGCGAAAGCGUGGGGAGCAAACAGG
rnacentral:rRNA from 1 species